rnacentral:rRNA from 1 species
AUUGAACGCUGGCGGCAGGCCUAACACAUGCAAGUCGAACGGUAACAGGAAGAAGCUUGCUUCUUUGCUGACGAGUGGCGGACGGGUGAGUAAUGUCUGGGAAACUGCCUGAUGGAGGGGGAUACCUACUGGAAACGGUAGCUAAUACCGCAUAACGUCGCAAGCCCAAAGAGGGGGACCUUCGGGCCUCUUUCCAUCGGAUGUUCCCAGAUGGGAUUAGCUAGUAGGUGGGGUAACGGCUCACCUAGGCGACGAUCCCUAGCUGGUCUGAGAGGAUGACCAGCCACACUGGAACUGAGACACGGUCCAGACUCCUACGGGAGGCAGCAGUGGGGAAUAUUGCACAAUGGGCGCAAGCCUGAUGCAGCCAUGCCGCGUGUAUGAAGAAGGCCUUCGGGUUGUAAAGUACUUUCAGCGGGGAGGAAGGGAGUAAAGUUAAUACCUUUGCUCAUUGACGGUACCCGCAGAAGAAGCACCGGCUAACUCCGUG